rnacentral:pre_miRNA from 1 species
AAUGUACUACUUCCUUUGUAAAUACUUGUCCGAGCAAUGGAUGUAUCUAGAUGUAUUUUAGUUCUAGAUACAUCCAUUUGUAUCCAUUUUUAUGACAAGUAUUUUCGGAUGAAGAUAAUACUUU